GAAGGUAUAGUUCAGUGGUAGAACGUGUGCUUAGCAUGCCUGAGGUCCUGGGUUCAAUUCUUGGUAACUGCA
rnacentral:tRNA from 1 species